rnacentral:rRNA from 1 species
AACGUAGGGGACAAGCGUUAUCCGGAUUUACUGGGCGUAAAGCGCCCGUAGGCGGCUUUUUAAGUUGGACGUGAAAGCUCCCGGCUUAACUGGGAGAGGCCGUUCAAAACUGAGAGGCUAGAGUGAGGCAGAGGAGCGCGGAAUUCCCGGUGUAGUGGUGGAAUGCGUAGAGAUCGGGAAGAACAUCAGUGGCGAAGGCGGCCUGCUGGGCUGUUGCUGACGCUGAGGCGCGACAGCGUGGGGAGCAAACAGG